UGGCUCAGAUUGAACGCUGGCGGCAUGCCUUACACAUGCAAGUCGAACGGCAGCACGGGUGCUUGCACCUGGUGGCGAGUGGCGAACGGGUGAGUAAUACAUCGGAACAUGUCCUGUAGUGGGGGAUAGCCCGGCGAAAGCCGGAUUAAUACCGCAUACGAUCUACGGAUGAAAGCGGGGGACCUUCGGGCCUCGCGCUAUAGGGUUGGCCGAUGGCUGAUUAGCUAGUUGGUGGGGUAAAGGCCUACCAAGGCGACGAUCAGUAGCUGGUCUGAGAGGACGACCAGCCACACUGGGACUGAGACACGGCCCAGACUCCUACGGGAGGCAGCAGUGGGGAAUUUUGGACAAUGGGCGAAAGCCUGAUCCAGCAAUGCCGCGUGUGUGAAGAAGGCCUUCGGGUUGUAAAGCACUUUUGUCCGGAAAGAAAUCCCUGGCUCUAAUACAGUCGGGGGAUGACGGUAC
rnacentral:rRNA from 1 species